rnacentral:rRNA from 1 species
UACGUAGGGCGCAAGCGUUAUCCGGAAUUAUUGGGCGUAAAGAGCUCGUAGGCGGUUUGUCGCGUCUGCCGUGAAAGUCCGGGGCUCAACUCCGGAUCUGCGGUGGGUACGGGCAGACUAGAGUGAUGUAGGGGAGACUGGAAUUCCUGGUGUAGCGGUGAAAUGCGUAGAUACCAGGAGGAACACCGGUGGCGAAGGCGGGUCUCUGGGCAGUAACUGACGCUGAGGAGCGAAAGCGUGGGGAGCGAACAGG